rnacentral:lncRNA from 1 species
AACAAAGUAAACAUCAAAACAACCUAACAUAACUGCCAAAAUCCAGAAAAUCCAGCAACACAGCAACAAAAAUCAUCACAUCAAUGGGGGCCAAAUUCAAAGGAGCUAAUCAGAGGAGCUUGAGCUUGCAGCUUCAUCAACAUCAGAAACAGACUUGCCACUUGUCUCAUCAUUAGUUGUAGACCUCUCACUAGAGGUGUGGGCUUCAG